rnacentral:lncRNA from 1 species
CUCUGGUCCCAUCUGUCAAUCUCACAUGGGGUCUGAGUUAGGUUAAAAUAUGGGUAAUGUCGAGUACAGUGGUGCACACCUGUAAUCCCAGCAACUCAGGAGGCUGAGGCGGGAGGAUCCCGAGUUCAAAGCCAGCCUCAGCAACUUAGUGAGGCCCUAAGCAUCUCAGCGAGACCCUGCCUCUAAAGAAAAUUGUAAAAAAGACUGGAGAUAUGGGUCAGUGAUUAAGCACCCCUGGGUUCAAUCCCUGGUACCAAAACCAAACAGAAAACAUGGGUAACUAUCGGGGACCAAAGAGAAUCAGUCAAAGCCACUAACAACUGCUCACUCAGCCCUGCCUUGUCCCCACCUAUUUUAGUCAACUAUUUCACUACUGUAGCCAAAAGACAUAACAAGAACAAUUAGAGGAAGAAAAGUUUCUUUGGAACUCACAGUUUCAGAGUUCUCAGUCCAUAGAUGGCUGACUCCAUUGCUGUGGGCCCAAGAUGAGGCAGAACAUUAUGGUAGAAGGGUGUGGAGGAGAAGAGCAGCUCAAGACAUGGCACCAGGAAGCAGAGACAGAGAGGGAGUGCUCUGUUCACGGAGGACAAAAUAUAAACCCCAAAGGCAUGCCCCAGUGACCCACCUCCUCUAACCACACCCUAUCUGCCUACAGUUACCACCCAGUUAAUCUGUAUAGUGGGCUAAUCUACUGAUUAGGGCACACCUCUCGUAAUCUAAUCAUUUCUCCUCCAACCCUCUCACAUGAGUUUUUGGGGGACACCUCACAUUUAAACCAUGACAGCACAAUAGCAUAGAAGAAGAAGAUUGUUCAAGCCAGACAUCCCAUGCAUUCCCAAGACAACCAUCAACACUGAAAUGCCCCAAGUCACUCUGGCCCUUCUCAUCAAGCUAAAGAACCCAAGAAUUGUCCAACACCUAAAUAAGAGUUUUGACAAAGAAAACGCAAGCAUUUCAGACAUGAAAAGAGCCACUUUUUAUAGUAUGUUGUUUUGUUUCGUUUUGUUUUAUUCUCAUUUGGGCUCCAAACAAAUUAACCCACUUUCCAAAUUAACCCAACUUCCCAGGGAUCUUUGCUAAGUGAAGUUUCUAACAAGUAAGGUCUGAUCUAGGGCAGCCCAUCUGGAAUUCUCGUCUGUCCAGAAUCUUCCCACAAGCCCUCACAGAAGUAUAAAAUCUUUUGUUUAUUAAGAUACAGAUGGGCACAGUAUAGAGGACACAGGGGGACAGGGCUCCAGGUGGGAAGCGUGUAUAAAACCCAGCACCUCUUAGCCCAAUGUUUCAAGGUUUGUCUGAGGUCUUCUCCCCACCACUCUGCUGAUUUUCCUCAUGUUCCCAAGAAGCAGAAGCAUGACUGAAGGAACCAUUAAUGAAGCUACUGAACACCAACCUGGCGCACACAGCCCAACCACAACCAACUUGGUGGCAAAGGUGGCAUUUGCAGUUCAUGGGUCAGGAAUAGCUAGGAAAUGCAGUUUUUUUGUUUUGUUUGGGAGGGGGGUUGUUUUGGGGUUUUUGGUUUUUUGGUAGUGCUGGGGAAUUGAACCCAGGGCUU